GUAGGAUCAAAGAAUAGAAGGGGAAAAAAUGAGGAGUGGAAAAGCUCGAUUUAACCUUUAAGUACAGAUAACUAUCAGGGUACAAAAAAGGCAAGAAAACAUGACAAAAUGAAAGGAUUAUUGAUGGGCAAUAAAGGAAGCGUAGUAGGUUUACCUUGAGAUUUCACUGAGCUAAUAUACUGGCUCCCAUUUCUAUGUUUAUUGUAGGAAAAAGAGAAAAACACUAAUCCAGGGAUAGAGCUGACUAGGGAUGCCCAAGUCAAAAAGACUUUGUAGCACUGGGCUUGGCAGAGGGUCCUGAAGCUAAAUGCAGAAGACUGUGGGAAAUGUCUUCAACUGGGGCUAAAGGUCGUAAGCAAGGACAAUGAACCUGGAAUUCGGAGGAAUUCAUACUCCAGUGAAGAAUUUCCAGACCCCUCAUGAGAAUAGCAGAUUGCCUACUCACCAGAGAAUACUCAAGCUGAAACUAAGCAGCCCCUGGAGAGUAAGCAAAUGAUUAGAAGGGUAGAUUUCAGGCAAGCAAAAGGGAGAGAGCCCAGAAUCUCCAUGUGAAUGACCCUAAAAUUACAGCUAAUAUAGGAAGUGGCUUCCUUGUACCUCUAGAAAUUGAACUCUCAGAACCUGACUGACAGUCUGCUCUUAAGAACAUUACCUCAAUCUGGAGAGAAAUGUGUGUUUCUUCUAUAUGGAUUUCAGACAGAAGCAGAAGGAGGGAUACCACUUUGGAUUCAUGUCAACGUCUUAAUAGGGGAAGUAAAGCAGUUUAUACGCCUCAGAGCACGGGUCCUCAAACCAGAAAAUCAGCGUGAAGGGGAGAAGGCCAGCCCUGCCUUGGACCGAUGGAAGCCACAUAGUCACGGACUCUUCUGGUGAGGACCAGAUGGCACAAUUUGCAGAGGGCAGGUUUAAUGUUGCUACCAUUUAGACUGGAAGGAAAACAUCUUUGAAGAAACA
rnacentral:lncRNA from 1 species